rnacentral:rRNA from 1 species
UAACACGUAGGGGACGAGCGUUGUCCGGAAUUAUUGGGCGUAAAGCGCGCGUAGGCGGUCGUGCAAGUCGGAUGUGAAAAUCCCGGGCUCAACCCGGGACCUGCACCCGAUACUGCUCGACUCGAGGUAGGUAGGGGAGAUCGGAAUUCCUGGUGUAGCGGUGAAAUGCGCAGAUAUCAGGAGGAACACCGGUGGCGAAGGCGGAUCUCUGGGCCUUACCUGACGCUGAGGCGCGAAAGCUAGGGGAGCGAACAGGAUUAGAUACCCUGGUAGUCCUAGCCGUAAACGUUGGGUGCUAGGUGUGGGUGGACAUCGACCCCAUCCGUGCCGAAGCUAACGCAUUAAGCACCCCGCCUGGGGAGUACGGCCGCAAGGCUA